GGCUCAGGAUGAACGCUAGCUACAGGCUUAACACAUGCAAGUCGAGGGGCAGCAUCAUCAAAGCUUGCUUUGAUGGAUGGCGACCGGCGCACGGGUGAGUAACACGUAUCCAACCUGCCGACAACACUGGGAUAGCCUUUCGAAAGAAAGAUUAAUACCCGAUGGCAUAGUUCUUCCGCAUGGUAGAACUAUUAAAGAACUUCGGUCAUCGAUGGGGAUGCGUUCCAUUAGGUUGUUGGCGGGGUAACGGCCCACCAAGCCUUCGAUGGAUAGGGGUUCUGAGAGGAAGGUCCCCCACAUUGGAACUGAGACACGGUCCAAACUCCUACGGGAGGCAGCAGUGAGGAAUAUUGGUCAAUGGACGAGAGUCUGAACCAGCCAAGUAGCGUGAAGGAUGACUGCCCUAUGGGUUGUAAACUUCUUUUAUACGGGAAUAAAGUGAGGCACGUGUGCCUUUUUGUAUGUACCGUAUGAAUAAGGAUCGGCUAACUCCGUG
rnacentral:rRNA from 1 species